AAAUAAUGGCUUAUGUCAUAUUUCCAGGUUUUUCAAAACCUGAUCCAAAUCUAUGUUUGGUUCAUUUUCUUUUAAAAAAAAUGCCAUUAUUUUAAGUGUGACGAUGUUAUACCUUUUAUUGACAUUCCAAUAUAACAAACCAUUUAAAGUGUGAAUCUGAAUGAAAUGAUACAGCCUUAAAUGGAGUAUAAAUCAGUUUGUUAGUGGCGUUUACAACCAUCUGCAUGACGUCACACAACAUGCAAGAGAUCAAAGGUCAUUGGCAGUUGGUGCAGGAAGUGAGUUAAUGAGUUAGGAGUCUCGUGCUGCAUGGGAAGAGCUGACCUGAUGCAAGAAGAAAUGAUCUCCAGGUUCUGGCAAAGGUGACUAAGGACCAAGCUGUGGUGAUGAUGGAAAAAGUAGCCAUGAUGAAGGUUGAACCUGAGGAGCAAAUGACAAAAGGAAAAGUCACGGUGGAAAAUUCAGACAAGACCGAUGACACGGCGGCCAAAACAAAGACGUCGGAGGAGAAGGACGGAAGAACCAAGACGUCACCAAGUUACUACAGUGCAGACUUUUUUUUCGGUUGUGUUGCAAACCUUAGUUUGUAGAAGUUGUAUCUCCUGAGUGUGAAGGGAGACUCUUAAGGAUGAGAAAAGGAAGGUCCUGUGAGAUGAUGGAUGACACAACAUCCUGCCUCCUCUCAGCUGUUGCAAAAUCAGUUACAUGAAGUGAAAGAACCUUCACUGUACAGAGGAGAGUUACCACAGGAUUUCACAACAAACAUGGCAGGGACACGAGAAGGCCAAGGAAGGUCACCAUGUCAAGGAUUAUUCUCCACAACUUCCACAGAUGCACAAUCUAGAUUUGGGAUCACACGUCUGCACAGGUGGUAGAAUUGGUAAACUGCACUGAAGGAUAUUUAUUACAGCAGAGUUCUCGGGAGGAGCCAUGACAUUGUUACACAGGUACAAACUGCUGCUGACAAGGAAGACACUACAUGAGAGUAGAAGUUGGAACAACUCGGCUGAAAGGCAAACACCAAUCCUCUCUGUUUUUGUAUUCUGUCAGGGACUCGGUGUUUGUUCUCCUCCUGAACAGCUGGUCGUGCGGCUGUAGAUGCAAUCAACUGAGUUGGGAGCGCAAGAUGAACACAAGAGGGAGCCAUUUGCUUUCAUAACAGUGUUGGCAUGUAAUGGCAGACAAGAAACACAGGAGGACAGUGGCCUGGAUGUUAGAAGAAGAUGGUGCUUGAAGUAGAUACAGACUAUAGCCUCUCUGGUCAGAGUUCAUUAGAAAUCAAUGACAACAGACACUGGACCAUGAACAUCCACUGUGAUAUCACAGUACAUGUAAACAGGUCAAUCAACAAGACAAACACCCACCAAUCAUCACUAUCCUUUCUUCUUUCAUUGAUGAUGUUUGGUCACAAGGGCAGAUGGCUUUGUGCCUUUUAGGCUAAAAUAAAAAUAAAACUACCAGUCGUCUUCAUCAUCUAGACCAAAGGAUACAGACACUGUGACCAGCUCACUAUCAUAGGAAGAUGUGACAGCCAUGAUUUAAUGAUCCAUGUUCAGUUUUGAUCUGUGGCUAACUGUGCUUACACAGGGAUGGAGUUCAGUUUCCCUUGGGGGAGAGAGAGAGAGAAAUAAACCAGGUGUCUUCAUUCGACUCCAUGUGCCCAGUGGCUGCAACAAAGCUCUGGUAGCUUGAUGUCACACACAGUCCCGUCAUGGAACAGUGAGAACCAAAAGAAUGCCAUUUUGGCAGGAAGCUGCUUUUGUUGCAAUGUGUCAGCGUUCACUGGAGAAGAAUGUCAGAAGAUGUUGGGUUAGAGCAAGUCUCCCCCCUCCACCUCCCCUACAGUCUGGAGAUCAAACCCCUCUGUUGGAUCAGCCCGGCUUGUUUUCUGUGGUUUGCCACAGUCCUAAUAAAGUGGCAUGAGUGGCG